rnacentral:rRNA from 1 species
UGGUGGGGUAACGGCCCACCAAGCCGAAGAUCCGUACGGGCCAUGAGAGUGGGAGCCCGGAGAUGGACCCUGAGACACGGGUCCAGGCCCUACGGGGCGCAGCAGGCGCGAAACCUCCGCAAUGCGGGAAACCGCGACGGGGUCAGCCGGAGUGCUCGCGCAUCGCGCGGGCUGUCGGGGUGCCUAAAAAGCACCCCAUAGCAAGGGCCGGGCAAGGCCGGUGGCAGCCGCCGCGGUAAUACCGGCGGCCCGAGUGGCGGCCACUUUUAUUGGGCCUAAAGCGUCCGUAGCCGGGCUGGUAAGUCCUCCGGGAAAUCUGGUCGCUUAACGAUCAGACUGCCGGAGGAUACUGCCAGCCUAGGGACCGGGAGAGGCCGGGGGUAUUCCCGGGGUAGGGGUGAAAUCCUGUAAUCCCGGGAGGACCACCUGUGGCGAAGGCGCCCGGCUGGAACGGGUCCGACGGUGAGGGACGAAGGCUAGGGGCACGAACCGGAUUAGAU